GAUGAACGCUAGCGGUAUGCUUAACACAUGCAAGUCGUACGGAGCAGUAAUGUUUAGUGGCGAACGGGUGAGUAACGCGUGAGAAUUUGCCUUUAGGAAGAGGAUAACAAUUAGAAAUAAUUGCUAAAACUCUAUAUGCCGUUCGCGGUGAAAAAAGUAAUUUGCCUAAAGAGAAGCUCGCGUCUGAUUAGCUAGUUGGUGGGGUAAAGGCCUACCAAGGCGACGAUCAGUAGCUGGUCUGAGAGGACGACCAGCCACACUGGAACUGAGACACGGUCCAGACUCCUACGGGAGGCAGCAGUGAGGAAUUUUCUGCAAUGGGCGAAAGCCUGACAGAGCAAUACCGCGUGAAGGAUGAAGGCCUACGGGUUGUAAACUUCUUUUCUCAAGGAGGAAGAUCUGACGUUACUUGAGGAAUAAGCAUCGGCUAACCCUGUGCCAGCAGCCGCGGUAAUACAGGGGAUGCAAGUGUUAUCCGGAAUUAUUGGGCGUAAAGCGUCUGCAGGUUGAUAUCUAAGUCUUUUGUUAAAUCUCCAGGCUUAACCUGGAAUCUGCAAAGGAAACUAUUUAUCUUGAGUAUGGUAGGGGUAAAGGGAAUUUCCAGUGGAGCGGUGAAAUGCGUAGAUAUUGGAAAGAACACCAACAGCGAAGGCACUUUACUGGGCUAUUACUGACACUCAGAGACGAAAGCUAGGGGAGCAAACGGGAUUAGAUACCCCGGUAGUCCUAGCUGUAAACGAUGGAUACUAGAUGUUGCUUACUCUUAGAGUCGGCAGUGUCGUAGCUAACGCGUUAAGUGUUCCGCCUGGGAAGUAUGCUCGCAAGAGUGAAACUCAAAGGAAUUGACGGGACCCGCACAAGCGGUGGAGUAUGUGGUUUAAUUCGAUGCAACACGAAGAACCU
rnacentral:rRNA from 1 species